UUUGUUGUGUCCCUGUAGCAUGCUGGACUUCUAAUCCAAAGUUCGUGGGUUCGAAUCCCACCUGAAAAG